CCAGCCAUACCAAGCAUCCCUCUAUAUCCAAAAGUAGGUUACUUUCGUCUAAUCCAUUUGUAGCCUGCAUGAGUUCCUGGUAUGAAAACCUUCUAUAUGUUGCUAUAUGUAGCAAAUCAGGUUGAGUAGAGAAAGGACUGUUCUCCUUUUUUCUUUGCCGCCUUGCCAGCACAUAUACAAGGGCUAGUACCAAUAUUGCUGAAGCUGUAGCUGGUAAAACAUAUUUCAGAAAUCUUAUUGAAGCCUAGCUGAGGAGCUCCGCAGGGUCCAAGAUUGAGCAUAAAAGAGCUGUUCCCAAGUCUGUCUUACAACAGACUAGAAGGAGAAAUUCCUUGCAGAGGACCAUUUACAAUCUUGGCAAUCACAGCAGAGAGUAUGCUAUUGGAGAGAUCCAGGUGCUCCCAAUUGAACCUGGUAUAGGUCCUUGGAAUUUAU
rnacentral:misc_RNA from 1 species